rnacentral:rRNA from 1 species
AUGGACACACACCCAUACGGCCGCAAGCUCCAAUCAGGGCCACUAGUGCCAAGUGCACCACGCCAUACACUCUUGUGCUCACAUAUCUAUACAGAUACGAGGUCAGAUGCCCAUGACACUGUCCUCAGAUACAGCUCCAGAAAUAACUUUGUACUGCCAGACAUAUAUACUGCAUACAUAUUCAGACAUGCAGCAGUAGGAGUAGUAUCUCUCCGGAGAGCUUUGAAGCUGGGUAAAUCACCGUGUGCUAUUUGUGCAAUCCCGUCCCCGGAUCUCCGAAGCAGUCUUACCCUCGCCACAAGCCACCUCGUGGCAUCUGUCGUCUCGCUAACCCGCCCGCGAGAUAACCCCGACAGUUGGCGCCCACCAUGGGGGCACUAUGCUACCAAGCUGCCGCGGAACCAUGGUCCGGGCGAGACCAUUUUCUUCAUCAUCGGCGGCGGCGCCAUCGUCUCUCCGGUAGCGCUCGGGGCUCGACAUCAACACGUCCCGGAGCGACCGCGCGAGGCGGCACGCCCUCGUCGUCAGCAUCGCCUUCUUCGUCAUCACCACCGCGGCGUCGACGCCAUCUCUCCGGCGUCGGUCAAGGGCUCGACAUCAGCCCGCCCCCAGCGCGUCGUCGUCGUCCGCCUUCGGUCCGCGCGCUUGCCGCUCCGGCCCUUGCUCCGCACAACCUCCGUACAAUGGCCGUAUUCUUCCCAGACUAUGGUCACACUCGUCUCAGACAAUGGCCAUACAAUGCAUGUACGCUGGCCCUGCUUGUGCACUAGCCAUAUCGAGGCUUGCUCGGUGCCCACGCCGCCAGCAAUCCCAAGAGCUCUGCCUCCCUUUGCCUCGCUUCCACCCAUGCCUCCCUAUUCUGCUCGCAAGUGCCUCCGGCUCCGGGCACAGGCACCCGUGGACACAGCAGCCAUGGCUGCAGCCGCCAACAAGCUGCUGCCUCUGACGGGCCGCUCCCGUACUCCUACGCCCCGCGAGCGCCUCCACCCCGCUCGGGCCACCGCUCCCAGCGGCCUCUACGCAUCCGCGCCCUCCUCAUCACCGGAGGCCUGCGCCUCACCGACCACCGACGCCGGCUCGUGUUGGGGGCCUUCCGUCGCCUCACGCCGCCACGACCCCCCGUCCCCGCGCCCCCACGCGCGCGGCCACGCCUCCCCAUGGCCUCUGCCUGGCCCGAGCGCCUCCACCUCCAACAUCGCGUCGCGACUGUCCAACCACGCGCCCGAGCCGGCUCCGCCUCGCAACCGGCUUCCUCCACAUCACCACCCCGUGCUCGGCCGGGUCCGGCUCCCCGCGUCGACCCGGCCGCUCCACGCCGGGUCCGGCUCCCACGCCGCCCCUCGGCUGCCACGCCCCUCGCCGCAUCGCCCGCAGGCCGGCUCGCCAGCCGGGUCCGCCUCCGUUCGUGGUCGGGUGCUCUGCUCCCGCCGGGUCGUGCUGCCAUUCACCACUAUCGCUCCGCCUCGACCCCGGCCGUCAUCUCCGCCGGUCUGCGCCGGCUCCCCGCGUCGGUCGGCCUCCCGGCUCCAGCCGGCCUCCUGCGCUGGCCGGCUUCGCCAGCGACCCGGCCUGCCAGCUCCCCCGCAACCCGGACGCCGGCAUCUGGCGCGACCCGGCCGUUGGCUUCCGCCGCCUCCUGCUCCUACCGGCUCGUGA